rnacentral:rRNA from 1 species
GUGCCAGCAGCCGCGGUAAUACGUAGGGACCGAGCGUUAUCCGGAUUCAUUGGGCGUAAAGAGCUCGUAGGCGGCUAUUCAAGUCGAACGUGAAAUCUCGGGGCUCAACCCCGAGCCUGCGUUCGAUACUGAAUAGCUAGAGUCUGGUAGGGGGAUCUGGAAUUCCUGGUGUAGCGGUGGAAUGCGCAGAUAUCAGGAGGAACACCGGUGGCGAAGGCGGGAUCCUGGGCCAGUACUGACGCUGAGGAGCGAAAGCGUGGGGAGCAAACAGGAUUAGAUACCCGCGUAGUCC